AGUGAGCCCCCGUGAAACAAGGGGCGUCCGGCAGUCCCUUUCCACCUGUCUCCACCCAGAGGAAAACGCAGGGACUGAGACACCCUCAUCCCCUCCCUUCCUGCCCCGCCGCUGGAGCUUUGUAAGCUGGAGCCAGGAAGCCGGAGUGUGGGGAACUUGAAAGGUCUGUAGCCCCUGCUGUGACACCGCUGAGCAGGAAACCGCGUGCGUCCACAAGCAGCCCCAAGGCCUUGUUGUAGGACAGUGGACAGUUUGCUCUCCCGGCUGAGGCUGCCCACCCCAGGGUUCCUGCAGUGCCUCACCUGCCCCCGGAGACGCCGGCCCCUGUCCCUGCCAAGCUUUCCAGGGUCCCCCCAUGCUGGGGUGACAGAGGCAGUCCCCCAAGAAUGAGGUACCCCAGCUGUCCCGUCCUCCUAUAGGCAUAAAACAACCCCCACCCCCGCCACACACACACACACAAGCUGUUUCUGCUUUUGGCCCAGUCAAGCCAAAAACUCCCCUGCUCUGGGUGGGGAUUGUUGACUGACUGUAAGUGCCACGUUUGUGGAGCAUAAUCUCUAAUUCUUGAAACAACUCAGCCUGGAGCGUUUUAUUAUUAUUAUUCCCAUUUUAUCUUUUUUUUUCCAUUUCUCCUAGCCUUGUAAUUAUUACUCCCAUUUUAUAGUUGAGGAAACUGAGGCUUCACAAUGUUGCGUGGCUCCUGGAGAGCUCAUAAAGCCAAUGAGCUAGGGCUGCAAGUGUGGGCUGGGCAAUGACUCCCAGGACGCAAAAAGCCAGGCACAGUGGAAUAGGUUGCCACGGAAUACACUCGUGAACAGAAAACAUUCCAAACCCAAACCAGAGAGAGUGCGUGUGCAUGUGUGUGUACUUUACACACCCAAGAAAGCCCAGCCCUGAUUGCCUGCCUUAGGAGGUAGGAGGAUGCGAGAGACUGAGUGUCCAUGUCCCCCUAGACGCAUAUGUUGAAACCUUCAUCCCAGCGUUAUGGUAUUAGGAGGUGGGGCCUUUGGGAGGUAAAUAGGUUGUGCCGGGGGAGCCCUCAUGAUGGAAUCAGUGCCCUUACCAGAGGCCAGAGGGCUGGUGCCUCCCUGCUGUCACGUGAGGACAUGAUGAGAAGGCAGCCAUCUGCAAGCCGGAAGACGUCCCCUGCCUGAAUCCGAACAUGCUGGCUCCUGAUCCUGGAUUUCCAGCCUCCGGAACUGUGAGAAAUCAAUGUCAGUUGUUGAGAAGCACCCAGUUUAUGGUGUUUUGAGACAGCUGACUGGACUAAGGCAGAACGAAAGAGGGGAAGACUCACUUGUUUCUUCACAGGAUUAAACAGGGGCAGGCAGCUGGGACAAAGCAGCACUGGACCCGAGCUGGAGGGAUGGAUCCCGGGCCCUCCACUCACUGGCCGACAAUGACGGGCAAGUGGCUUCACCUCUCGUCCCUCAGUGACUUCAUCUAUAAAUGGGGCUGAAAUCAGGGAAUCAAAAGGCAUGAAGAGCUAGCCCCUAGCAUGACACUUGGCCUACUUUUGGUAUUUAAUAAACGUCUUCUGACCUGGUCCUCCUUCGUACCUCAACCACAUCAGACACAGCGUCAUGAUGAUUUUUCCCCUGAGCAAAGUGGCUUUGUGUGAAGUUGCUAGGCCUGAGUUUCCCCAUCUAAAAUACGCAGGUUGACCUGGAUGAUCUGUGCCUCAGCUACACCUACAGACCUCUCUGCUCACCAUCAUGAGUGCCCCUAGCAAAGGGAGACAGGGGCCCUGGGGUGUUGGGAGGAAUGGACACUCAAUUUCCAGUCAGGCAUUGAACAGGUCAGUGGAUUAGUGGGUCUGUGAUUCAUUCAUCCAUCCAUUUUGUCAACCAUUUGUUAGAUCAUUUGUCAACCAGCCAGCCAGCCCAGUGGCUGGUCAGCUCACAGCAUAUUCUGGUCCUUGUACUGCUUCCAGCCCAGUAAACUCAACCAAAGAGAAAGAGAACAGAAGAAUGAGAAUAAACAAACUCCAACUGCCCACAACAACACACUGAGUGAAAGAAGCCAGACCCCAAACUGAACAUACUGUAUGAUUUUCUUUGUAUUAUAAAAGUGUCACACACACACAAAAAGUGUCAGUACAUCCAAAACCAACCGAAAGUGUCAGAAGCCAUGAUAAGGAUUAUCCUAUGCAGGGGAUCAGGGAAACGGUAAGUAGUGACUGGACGGCAGCUCAUGGGGCUUUUGGGAUUCUGGUAAUAUUCUGUUUCUAAAUCUGGGUGCUGGUGACACAGUGUUUGCCUAGCGAAAAUUCAUUGAAUUGUACAUUUAAGUUUUUACACUUUCCUGUAUCUACGCUAUGCUAUAGUUCAAUAAAAAUUUACCCAAAAAAAUAAUAAAAGAAAGAAAAGAAAAGCAAGAAAAAGCAAGGAAAUGCACAGAGCAGUUAACUCAGCAAUUCCAGUUCUAAGAGCUGCUUAUCCUGUAGUUAUCCUUCCAGGUGGGCAAAUGAUGGAGGGGCAUGAUGUUCCUGGAAAACUGGAAACCUAAAAGUCUUGGUUAUUCAACCAGAAUGUUAAAUAAACAACACAUCCAUAUGAUGGAAUAUUACUUAACCAUUACAAAGUAUGAUCGUUAUGUACCAAUUGCAAUAAGCCCUUAGACUGAAAAGUCAGUAAGUGAGCCCAGGAGGUAUACAGCACUACCCUCUGUAGCAGCAAGCGUGCAUAGCCACAGGCUCUCUCUGGAACGACACAGGAGAAAGUGGUGGCAUUCUGGCCUGCAGGCUCACGCUCUCCCCUUAGGGGAUGUUAUCUGUGGCCACAUCCAGUCUGCCUGCCAGACCAUGCUCUUCCCGAGGGUCUACGGAGCCUGGUGCCAGUAGUCUUAGUUCAGUCUCCAAGUGAAUGAUUCGCAAUAGUCUGUAGCUUACAAAUUGCCAUCCCUCUGACUGCGGGCAGGGCCAGAUUCAGGGGUUUGGCGACGACCACAGACUGUCUGUCCAUCUGGAAGAUGGGCUAGAUGUGCGCAGAACAGGGGCUCAUGGCUGAAGAGGGCACAGUUCCCACAUGCGCCUGCUGUCCAAGGAGCAGAAACAGACCCUGGGGCAAGAGAAGCCAGAGUGCCAGUUCAGGGAGAGCUGCUGCCGCCUUCUGUCCUGCAGGAAAGAAGACUUGGCAAGGUCACACCGGCAAAACAAGGAUUUGUAUGCAGGUCUGACUCCAAAGCCCGGGCAUGCUGCCUUCUGCAGAGGCCAAUCAGGGAGGGCUUCACUGGGGAGUCAUAUGCAGUCUUUUUUUCUUUUUUUUUUUCUUUUUUGAGACGGAGUUUCACUCUUGUAGCCCAGGCUGGAGUGCAAUGGCAUGACCUCGGCUCACUGCAACCUCUGCUUCCUGGGUUCAAGCGAUUCUCCUGCCUCAGCCUCCCGAGUAGCUAGGAUUACUGGCUGAUUUUUUGUAUUUUUAGUAGAGACGGGGUUUCACCAUGCUGGCCAGGCUGGCCUCAAACUCCUGACCUCAGGUGAUCUGUCUGCCUCGGCCUCUUGAAGUGCUGGGAUUACAGGCGUGAGCCACCGCGCCCGGCGGUCUCAUGCAGUUUUGCAAAGUCAAAGCAGACGAGGGUUGGCAUGUUCCACGCAGAAGGAAUGCUGUCUAGAAACAGAAGAGAGUGGCGUGACCUUGAGAGUACAGGGUUCUGUAUUGGGUCAGUGGGGGCAGGAAGGCAGCAGGGAAAGCAAUUUGGGAAACUGGUCAGAAAUGAUGCAGGAAGUGCUGGCUGGAGCCUGGCUACAAAGACUCAUGGGUUCCUGGCCAUGGAGCCUGAAGUCAGUCCUAUAACUGUUUGGAUUCCAACUGACGGCUUGAAUACAGGUUCAGCUCCACCUCUGCUUCCAGAAGAUCAUUCUGGCAGUGAGGUGAGGGCAGAUUGUAGGGCGUCUGGCUGGAGGGAGGGAGACCUGUUGGGAGGCAGUGGCAACAAUUCAGGUGAGCAGGUGGUGGCCAGGACAAGGGCUGGCGUGGGUGACAUAAGAGUUUGAGAGGAACUGAGAAGGAAGAAGGGCAUGUAAUUGGCGGAAGACAGCAACUGUGCGAAAGGGAGGAGGUAAAGGUGACGCUCAGGUUUCUAGAUCAAGGAACAGGGUCUCCAGUUGUACCCUUCACGGAGGUGAGAAAUCCAGAUUUGGCUGGAAUCCGAGUUCAGUUUUUUGUUUGUUUUUUUGAGACUGAGUCUCUGACGCCCAGGCUGGAGUGCAGUGGUGCGAUCUCGGCUCACUGCAAUCUCUGCCUCCUGGGUUCAAGCGAUUCUCCUGCCUUAGUCUCCUGAGUAGCUGGGAUUACAGGCGCCUGCCACCGUGCCAGGCUAAUUUUUGUAUUUUUAGAAGAGACGGGGUUUCAUCAUGUUGGCCGGGCUGGUCUUCAACUCCUGACCUCAGGUGAUCCGCCCGCCUCGGCCUCCCAAAGUGCUGGGAUUACAGGCGUGAGCCACCGCGCCCGGCCCUGAGUUCAGUUUUUUUAAGGACACAAUUAGAGGUGCUCACGGGAUGUUCAAGCAGGGAGGCUGGUGGAUACCUUCGAUUCGCUCGUUCACCUACGUGGACUUAUUAAACAGCCAGGCUCCCUGGCCUUGGGAGAGUCCUUCUGGUGGGGAGACAGAUGAUAAAUAACUGAAGUAAUGGAAAAGGGGCAGUUCAAGAAAAGUGUUGUGGAGGAAGAAAACAAGAAAGCCCGCCAGAAGGGGACUGGAGGUCGGCCCCGAGGGUGUGUCCGCUAGAGGGGGCCUCUCCAGGUGGACUGCGGGUGAGAGUAAAGGGGGCAUGUGGGGGAAAAGCAUUCUAGGGAACAGCAAGUGCGAGGACCUGGAGACGGCAGAGGGGCUGGUGGGACAGGCGCCCAAGAGGAGGCCCAGGCUGUCCCUCCGGGGCGUGGGGAGAGGCAUGGGGCUGGGUCCCUGCAGGAGCUCACAAGCCACAGUGGGGAGCAGAAGCGUUACGCUGAGUACAGUGGGAGCCACUGAAAGGGUUAAAGACCCCUGGGGGUGCUGAGUGGGAAGAGGCUCUGGGAGCUGGAGUGGACGCAGGGAGACCAGUUAUAAGGCGAAUGCAGGAGUCCAGGCAAAAGAGAAUAUUCCAGUGUGUAUCUUAAGACUUAACUUUUUACACACAGAACACCCUGCGCCCCUCUCAGAGCCUCCGGGGUCUUCAUGCGAGCAGUUUAUCACGGUUCUUUCGUCUUAAACCCUCUUACUAUUUCAGCAAACACCCUCUCCUCAGCCUGGUCAACCCCUCUGCCCAACCCGAGUGGGCCCCGAAGGAACAAGUGGGGACCAGAGUCCUGCUCAUGUGAGUGGUGGGGCCCAGCCCGUUCCCCUAAGACCAGAAUUCUCUCGCUCAGAGCAAAGCCCCGGGGUGCCGGGAUUCUCUCUCUGCUCCCGCUCCCUGGAUGGAGCUUUUAAAAAAGGAGGAUUCCUCACUGCGGCCUCUGCCCCUUGCACUGAGCGCCAACCCGCAUCACAGCUCAGCAAAGGCGCGCGCAGUGAACAGACGGAGGAGGGGUGGCUCCUCGCUGAGCUGAAGGCUGCGGCGACGAAAAUAAACAGCAUGGUUCCUGCUCUCCACGAACCUGGCGCUGCAGACGUGGGCAAACCACACCAAGAGACGCGAGCAACCGAAAUAUAGGGAGAAAAAAAAAGGUGCCCUGGACAGCGGGCUAGAUGUCUCCUGCAGGCUCGAGGACUUCCCGGAGGGGGCGGCGUUUUCUCGGGGCCUGGGAAGAAUGGGCGGGUUUCAGCGGGCGCCUUCUGGGUGACUGCCCGUUUCGGCUUCCCCUGACCCCGUAACAGAGCGGAAGAGGCCCAGAGACGCCAGAGGAGGGGCGUCAGCGGGACACUCAGGCCAAUAAGCUCUGACUCCCGCUGUCUGCAAAAAUGACCGGAUGCAGGAAUGUCACCUAGAACCGGCCAGCUUUCCGACCUCUCCGGUCAAGGACGCAUUCCUAAGAGACGAAGGGAGAAUGACAGAAGUUAAAAACAACCAAACAAAAGCCAGGUUGAGGCCUCUAGGUGGGUCUCCGCUACCGAUGGAUUCAGCCGGUGGGGCUGCAGGAGGUUCCUAUAAGCGUGGUCCCCUCUCCCCGCACCGAGUCCGGCCC
rnacentral:lncRNA from 1 species